AGGUUGUGUCUAGGUGUCUGGCUCUGCUGGGGGUUAGUUAGGUGCUCCACCUGAUCUAAUUAGGAACUUUUAGUUCCUGUUUCUAUUAACUUAGGAACUUUUGUUCUUUUUCUUUCCUGGUUCAGCUUUGUGCAACAAAUCUUGCUGGUGUGAUCGACAAGUUUGGCUGGAUGAUACAGCUCACCUCUUACUCACCCUUAUAAACCCAACAAAGACAAACAUCUCCUUGGACUAAACAACAUUUUUCCUGCCAAAAACACAACAAUGGCGAGUAAUUUCCUACAAUACCGCAAGUUUGCUGCAGAAUGCGAGUCUGGGCAGCCACAUAAUGUUCUUGAUGGAAAGGAGAAACAAGAUGACCAUUGCAAGACACUUCCUAGAUUACUGUGAGAAAGCCAAUAAAAGAAUUUAUGCCAGCAAUUGGCGUGGCUUACACAUCCAUUCUAGGCUCCUCUACAUAGCAACUGACUGGAAGUGUGAUGACACCACAGUUCAGAUCAACCUUCCAACAACAUCCUCGCCAGAAGUGUGAUGACACCACAGUUCAGAUCAACCUACGAACAACAACAUCCUCACCAGAAGUGUGAUGACACCACAGUUCAGAUCAGCCUACCAACAAACAACGUCCU